AAAUUGAAGAGUUUGAUCAUGGCUCAGAUUGAACGCUGGCGGCAGGCCUAACACAUGCAAGUCGAACGGUAACAGGAAGCAGCUUGCUGCUUCGCUGACGAGUGGCGGACGGGUGAGUAAUGUCUGGGAAACUGCCUGAUGGAGGGGGAUAACUACUGGAAACGGUGGCUAAUACCGCAUAACGUCGCAAGACCAAAGAGGGGGACCUUCGGGCCUCUUGCCAUCAGAUGUGCCCAGAUGGGAUUAGCUUGUUGGUGAGGUAACGGCUCACCAAGGCGACGAUCCCUAGCUGGUCUGAGAGGAUGACCAGCCACACUGGAACUGAGACACGGUCCAGACUCCUACGGGAGGCAGCAGUGGGGAAUAUUGCACAAUGGGCGCAAGCCUGAUGCAGCCAUGCCGCGUGUAUGAAGAAGGCCUUCGGGUUGUAAAGUACUUUCAGCAGGGAGGAAGGUGUUGUGGUUAAUAACCGCAGCAAUUGACGUUACCCGCAGAAGAAGCACCGGCUAACUCCGUGCCAGCAGCCGCGGUAAUACGGAGGGUGCAAGCGUUAAUCGGAAUUACUGGGCGUAAAGCGCACGCAGGCGGUCUGUCAAGUCGGAUGUGAAAUCCCCGGGCUCAACCUGGGAACUGCAUUCGAAACUGGCAGGCUUGAGUCUUGUAGAGGGGGGUAGAAUUCCAGGUGUAGCGGUGAAAUGCGUAGAGAUCUGGAGGAAUACCGGUGGCGAAGGCGGCCCCCUGGACAAAGACUGACGCUCAGGUGCGAAAGCGUGGGGAGCAAACAGGAUUAGAUACCCUGGUAGUCCACGCCGUAAACGAUGUCUACUUGGAGGUUGUGCCCUUGAGGCGUGGCUUCCGGAGCUAACGCGUUAAGUAGACCGCCUGGGGAGUACGGCCGCAAGGUUAAAACUCAAAUGAAUUGACGGGGGCCCGCACAAGCGGUGGAGCAUGUGGUUUAAUUCGAUGCAACGCGAAGAACCUUACCUGGUCUUGACAUCCACAGAACUUUCCAGAGAUGGAUUGGUGCCUUCGGGAACUGUGAGACAGGUGCUGCAUGGCUGUCGUCAGCUCGUGUUGUGAAAUGUUGGGUUAAGUCCCGCAACGAGCGCAACCCUUAUCCUUUGUUGCCAGCGGUUAGGCCGGGAACUCAAAGGAGACUGCCAGUGAUAAACUGGAGGAAGGUGGGGAUGACGUCAAGUCAUCAUGGCCCUUACGACCAGGGCUACACACGUGCUACAAUGGCGCAUACAAAGAGAAGCGACCUCGCGAGAGCAAGCGGACCUCAUAAAGUGCGUCGUAGUCCGGAUUGGAGUCUGCAACUCGACUCCAUGAAGUCGGAAUCGCUAGUAAUCGUGGAUCAGAAUGCCACGGUGAAUACGUUCCCGGGCCUUGUACACACCGCCCGUCACACCAUGGGAGUGGGUUGCAAAAGAAGUAGGUAGCUUAACCUUCGGGAGGGCGCUUACCACUUUGUGAUUCAUGACUGGGGUGAAGUCGUAACAAGGUAACCGUAGGGGAACCUGCGGUUGGAUCACCUCCUUACCUUAAAGAA
rnacentral:rRNA from 1 species